AUUGAACGCUGGCGGCAGGCCUAACACAUGCAAGUCGAGCGGAUGAAGGGAGCUUGCUCCUGGAUUCAGCGGCGGACGGGUGAGUAAUGCCUAGGAAUCUGCCUGGUAGUGGGGGAUAACGUCCGGAAACGGGCGCUAAUACCGCAUACGUCCUGCGGGAGAAAGUGGGGGAUCUUCGGACCUCACGCUAUCAGAUGAGCCUAGGUCGGAUUAGUUAGUUGGUGGGGUAAAGGCCUACCAAGGCGACGAUCCGUAACUGCUCUGAGAGGAUGAUCAGUCACACUGGAACUGAGACACGGUCCAGACUCCUACGGGAGGCAGCAGUGGGGAAUAUUGGACAGUGGGCGAAAGCCUGAUCCAGCCAUGCCGCGUGUGUGAAGAAGGUCUUCGGAUUGUAAAGCACUUUAAGUUGGGAGGAAGGGCAGUAAGUUAAUACCUUGCUGUUUUGACGUUACCAACAGAAUAAGCACCGGCUAACUUCGUG
rnacentral:rRNA from 1 species